rfam:Arabidopsis lyrata subsp. lyrata unplaced genomic scaffold ARALYscaffold_1, whole genome shotgun sequence.
ACUCGUCAUCUCUGUGCCUCUUUGUCUACAAUUUUGGAAAAAGUAGUGUCGCCAUUGUUUUUUUCCCAAAUGUAGACAAAGCGAUACCGUGAUGACGUUAU